rnacentral:rRNA from 1 species
GACGAACGCUGGCGGCGUGCCUAAUACAUGCAAGUAGAACGCACAGUUUAUACCGUAGCUUGCUACACCAUAGACUGUGAGUUGCGAACGGGUGAGUAACGCGUAGGUAACCUGCCUGGUAGCGGGGGAUAACUAUUGGAAACGAUAGCUAAUACCGCAUAAUAUUAAUUAUUGCAUGAUAAUUAAUUGAAAGGUGCAAUUGCACCACUACCAGAUGGACCUGCGUUGUAUUAGCUAGUAGGUGAGGUAACGGCUCACCUAGGCGACGAUACAUAGCCGACCUGAGAGGGUGAUCGGCCACACUGGGACUGAGACACGGCCCAGACUCCUACGGGAGGCAGCAGUAGGGAAUCUUCGGCAAUGGACGAAAGUCUGACCGAGCAACGCCGCGUGAGUGAAGAAGGGUUUCGGAUCGUAAAGCUCUGUUGUAAGAGAAGAACGGGUGUGAGAGUGGAAAGUUCACACUGUGACGGUACCUUACCAGAAAGGGACGGCUAACUACGUG